rnacentral:rRNA from 1 species
UACGAAGGGGGCUAGCGUUGCUCGGAAUCACUGGGCGUAAAGCGCACGUAGGCGGAUUGCUAAGUCAGGGGUGAAAUCCUGGAGCUCAACUCCAGAACUGCCUUUGAUACUGGCGAUCUCGAGUCCGGGAGAGGUGAGUGGAACUGCGAGUGUAGAGGUGAAAUUCGUAGAUAUUCGCAAGAACACCAGUGGCGAAGGCGGCUCUCUGGACCGAGACUGACGCUGAGGCGCGAAAGCGUGGGGAGCAAACAGG